UACGUAGGUGGCAAGCGUUGUCCGGAUUUAUUGGGUUUAAAGGGUGCGCAGGCGGAUAUGUAAGUCAGUGGUGAAAUCUUUGGGCUUAACCCGAAAAUUGCCAUUGAUACUAUAUAUCUUGAAUGCUGUGGAGGUAAGCGGAAUAUGUCAUGUAGCGGUGAAAUGCUUAGAUAUGACAUAGAACACCUAUUGCGAAGGCAGCUUACUACGCAGAGAUUGACGCUCAUGCACGAAAGCGUGGGGAGCAAACAGG
rnacentral:rRNA from 1 species